rnacentral:rRNA from 1 species
AACGUAGGGGGCAAGCGUUGCCCGGAUUCACUGGGCGUAAAGCGGGUGUAGGCGGUUCUUUAAGUCAGAUGUGAAAUCCUGCGGCUCAACCGCGGAACUGCAUCUGAUACUGGGGAACUUGAGGACGGUAGAGGUCGGUGGAAUCCCCGGUGUACCGGUGAAAUGGGCAGAUAUCGGGGGGAACACCAGUGGCGAAGGCGGCCGACUGGGCCGAUCCUGACGCUGAGGAGCGAAAGCGUGGGGAGCGAACAGG